rnacentral:rRNA from 1 species
GACGAACGCUGGCGGCGUGCCUAACACAUGCAAGUCGAACGGGGCUAGGAAAGCUUGCUUUCUGAUGCCUAGUGGCGGACGGGUGAGUAACGCGUGAGUAACCUGCCUCUCAGAGGGGAAUAACGUUCUGAAAAGAACGCUAAUACCGCAUAACGUACAGCUUUCGCAUGGAAGCAGUACCAAAGGAGCAAUCCGCUGAGAGAUGGACUCGCGUCCGAUUAGCUAGUUGGUGGGGUAAAGGCCUACCAAGGCGACGAUCGGUAGCCGGACUGAGAGGUUGAACGGCCACAUUGGGACUGAGACACGGCCCAGACUCCUACGGGAGGCAGCAGUGGGGGAUAUUGCACAAUGGGGGGAACCCUGAUGCAGCAACGCCGCGUGUGGGAAGAAGGUUUUCGGAUUGUAAACCACUGUUCUUGGUGAAGAUAAUGACGGUAACCAAGGAGAAAGCUCCGGCUAACUACGUGCCAGCAGCCGCGGUAAUACGUAGGGAGCAAGCGUUGUCCGGAUUUACUGGGUGUAAAGGGUGCGUAGGCGGCUAGGCAAGUCAGACGUGAAAACCAUGGGCUCAACCUGUGGACUGCGUUUGAAACUGUUUAGCUUGAGUGAAGUAGAGGUAGGCGGAAUUCCCGGUGUAGCGGUGAAAUGCGUAGAGAUCGGGAGGAACACCAGUGGCGAAGGCGGCCUACUGGGCUUUAACUGACGCUGAGGCACGAAAGCAUGGGUAGCAAACAGG